UGGGGAAUCUUGGACAAUGGGGGCAACCCUGAUCCAGCCAUGCCGCGUGAGUGAUGAAGGCCUUAGGGUCGUAAAGCUCUUUCGCCUGUGAAGAUAAUGACGGUAGCAGGUAAAGAAACCCCGGCUAACUCCGUGCCAGCAGCCGCGGUAAUACGGAGGGGGUUAGCGUUGUUCGGAAUUACUGGGCGUAAAGCGCACGUAGGCGGACCAGAAAGUUGGGGGUGAAAUCCCGGGGGCUCAACCCCGGAACUGCCUCCAAAACUAUUGGUCUAGAGUUCGAGAGAGGUGAGUGGAAUUCCAAGUGUAGAGGUGAAAUUCGUAGAUAUUUGGAGGAACACCAGUGGCGAAGGCGGCUCACUGGCUCGAUACUGACGCUGAGGUGCGAAAGUGUGGGGAGCAAACAGGAUUAGAUACCCUGGUAGUCCACGCCGUAAAACGAUGAGUGCUAGAUGUUGGGAUUUUCGGAUUUCAGUGUCGCAGCUAACGCAUUAAGCACUCCGCCUGGGGAGUACGGCCGCAAGGUUAAAACUCAAAAUG
rnacentral:rRNA from 1 species